GUGACCCAUCUUCCGUGCUUGAAAUCGACGUAGUGGACCCUGGCUAGCAUAUUUUUCCCUGCCAAGAUUAUUGCAAAAAGACGAUGUGGUGGUUAAUAUCGGAAAGAAUGUGUGGUUAAUAUCAGGAAGAACACGUGAAAUGGAGAAUUUCAGGGCUAACAUUUCUUGUUUUGUUUCUGAAAACAUCGGCAUGUCCUAAAAAGUGUCGCCUGUGCCCAUCAUCUCUCAGGCUUGGGAGCAGGACACCGCCGGCUCACUUUAAAGCCAAGGGAAAGAAUUUGGACAACCAACUACGUCUGGAGAAGACACCAAUGUCAGCAGAGCUCCGCUUUCAUCUGUGGGCGAAGGAUUACCUAGAUGCCAAGGCAAGAGACUGAAGACACAAACUGUUUCAGUAUAACAAAGAAAAUAGGCCGGGAGCGGUGGCUCACGCCUGUAAUCCCAGCACUUUGGGAGGCCGAGGCGGGUGGAUCACGA
rnacentral:lncRNA from 1 species